UGCCGUGGCUCUAUGUGGGAAUGUGCUUCUCUUCUUUUUGCUGGCACAUUGAGGAUCACUGGAGUUAUUCCAUCAACUACUUGCACUGGGGGGAGCCAAAGACAUGGUAUGGUGUGCCAUCUCAUGCUGCAGAGCAACUGGAGGAGGUGAUGAGAGAGCUGGCCCCUGAGUUAUUUGAAUCCCAGCCUGAUCUUCUGCAUCAGUUAGUCACCAUCAUGAACCCCAACGUGCUAAUGGAGCAUGGUGUGCCUGUGAGUCUUUUGGUGUCUUCCUUCAGUUGUUUGUUUGUUUGUUUGUUUUUUCAUUGUUUUUUUUUUUUUUUGAAACAGGGUCUUGCUCUGUUGCCCAGGCUGGAGUGCAGCGGCACGAUGAUUGCUCAUUGCAGCCUCAGCCUGCUCAGCUCAAGCAGUUCUCCUGCCUCAGCCUAAUGAGUAGCUGGGACUAUAGGAGCACACCACCACCCCCGGCUAAUUGUUGUAUUUUUUGUAGAGACGAAGCCUUAUUGUGUUGCCCAGGUUGGUCUCGAACUCCUGAGCUCAAGCAGUCUUCCCACCUCGGCCUCCCAAAGUGUUGGGAUUACAGGUGUGAGCCACUGCACCCAGCCAGUAUUUUUAAUUUAAAGUUAUUUUAGCUUUUGAUUAGAUAGAAUCACAACAUAUGCUUUGUUUUGUAA
rnacentral:sRNA from 1 species